rnacentral:rRNA from 1 species
GACGAACGCUGGCGGCGUGCUUAACACAUGCAAGUCGAACGGUAAGGCCCUUCGGGGUACACGAGUGGCGAACGGGUGAGUAACACGUGGGUGAUCUGCCCUGCACUUCGGGAUAAGCCUGGGAAACUGGGUCUAAUACCGGAUAGGACCACUGCCUGCAUGGGUGGUGGUGGAAAGCUUUUGCGGUGUGGGAGGGGCCCGCGGCCUAUCAGCUUGUUGGUGGGGUGAUGGCCUACCAAGGCGACAACGGGUAGCCGGCCUGGGAGGGUGACCGGCCACACUGGGACUGAGAUACGGCCCAGACUCCUACGGGAGGCAGCAGUGGGGAAUAUUGCACAAUGGGCGCAAGCCUGAUGCAGCGACGCCGCGUGAGGGAUGACGGCCUUCGGGUUGUAAACCUCUUUCAGCACCGACGAAGCGCAAGUGACGGUAGGUGCAGAAGAAGGACCGGCCAACUACGUGCCAGCCGCCGCAGUAA